rnacentral:tRNA from 1 species
GGGCCUGUAGAUCAGUCCGGUAGAGCGCCCGGUUGGCAAUCGGGAGGCCUCCGGUUCGAGUCCCGACAGGUCCA